UACGUAGGGGGCGAGCGUUGUCCGGAUUUAUUGGGCGUAAAGGGCGCGUAGGCGGCUCGGCACGUCCGUUGUGAAAUCGCCCGGCUCAACUGGGCGGGGUCGGCGGAUACGGCCGAGCUGGAGCAAGCUAGGGGGUAAUGGAAUUCCCGGUGUAGUGGUGGAAUGCGUAGAUAUCGGGAGGAACACCAGUGGCGAAGGCGGUUACCUGGAGCUUUGCUGACGCUGAUGCGCGAAAGCGUGGGGAGCGAGUCCGG
rnacentral:rRNA from 1 species